rnacentral:sRNA from 1 species
GAAGAUGUUGGAGAAACUGAAGUACUCUUUAUCCACUGGCCAGGUAUGCUGUAAGCUCCUCCAGUGACCUCUGCCCCUGUCCUUGAGGGAUUGACUGCCCUCUUCUGAGAUGAUAGGUAAUUCAGUUUUCAUGCUAUCCUAGUCUAGGGCUCAC